UACAGAGGGGGCAAGCGUUGUUCGGAAUUACUGGGCGUAAAGGGCGCGUAGGCGGCCUUCUAAGUCGAACGUGAAAUCCCCGGGCUCAACCCGGGAACUGCGUCCGAUACUGGAAGGCUUGAAUCCGGGAGAGGGAUGCGGAAUUCCAGGUGUAGCGGUGAAAUGCGUAGAUAUCAGAAGGAACAUCAGUGGCGAAAGCGGCUCACUGGGCUGACCUUGACGCUGAGGCGCGAAAGCGUGGGGAGCGAACAGG
rnacentral:rRNA from 1 species